UACAGAGGUGGCAAGCGUUGUUCGGAAUUACUGGGCGUAAAGGGCGCGUAGGCGGCCUUCUAAGUCAGACGUGAAAUCCCCCGGCUUAACCUGGGAACUGCGUCUGAUACUGGGAGGCUUGAGUAUGGGAGAGGGAUGUAGAAUUCCAGGUGUAGCGGUGAAAUGCGUAGAGAUCGGGAGGAACAUCAGUGGCGAAGGCGGCCAUCUGGGACAACACUGACGCUGAAGCACGAAAGCGUGGGGAGCAAACAGG
rnacentral:rRNA from 1 species